rnacentral:lncRNA from 1 species
AUGCUCCCCGACGGCCUCCGCUGGAGUGAGGCUGUGCUGACGUCCACACCACUGACCCGGGGCCUUUCUCCUGGUCAGGACGCCCCCCGCCGCCACCCCAUGAGCAGAGGGCCACAGCCCCGGCCCAACGCCCCUCCUGACAGCGACACCCCCACCCUGGCCACCCAGGAGGCCCUCCUGCUUGCUGGCCGCCCCAGACCUCCCCGCUGCGGCGUGCCCGACCCGCCCGACGGGCCAAGUGCCCGCAACCGACAGAAGAGGUUCGUGCUGUCGGGCGGGCGCUGGGAGAAGACGGACCUCACCUACAGGAUCCUCCGGUUCCCGUGGCAGCUGCUGCGGGAACAGGUGCGGCAGACGGUGGCGGAGGCCCUCCGAGUGUGGAGUGACGUCACGCCACUCACCUUCACUGAAGUGCACGAGGGCCAUGCCGACAUCGUGAUCGACUUCACCAGGUACUGGCAUGGGGACAACCUGCCCUUCGAUGGACCUGGGGGCAUCCUGGCCCACGCCUUCUUCCCCAAGACCCACCGAGAAGGGGAUGUCCACUUCGACUAUGAUGAGACCUGGACCAUCGGGGACAACCAGGGCACAGACCUCCUGCAGGUGGCGGCCCACGAGUUUGGCCACGUGCUGGGGCUACAGCACACGACAGCUGCGAAGGCCCUGAUGUCCCCCUUCUACACCUUCCGCUACCCACUGAGCCUCAGCCCAGACGACCGCAGGGGCAUCCAGCAGCUGUACGGCCGGCCUCGGCUAGCUCCCACGUCCAGGCCCCCAGACCUGGGCCCCGGCACCGGGGCGGACACCAACGAGAUCGCGCCGCUGGAGCCGGACGCCCCACCGGAUGCCUGCCACGUCUCCUUUGACGCGGCCGCCACCAUCCGCGGCGAGCUCUUCUUCUUCAAGGCAGGCUUCGUGUGGCGGCUGCGCGGGGGCCGGCUGCAGCCUGGCUACCCUGCACUGGCCUCUCGGCACUGGCAGGGGCUGCCCAGCCCUGUGGACGCAGCCUUCGAGGACGCCCAGGGCCACAUCUGGUUCUUCCAAGGUGAGUGGGGGCCAGGUCACACUUGGGAGACUGCUGGGAGCCAGGAACGUCAUGGCCAAGGGAAGGGACAGACAGACGUGAUGAGCAGAUGGACAGACGGAGGGGGCCCCGGAGUGUGGCUGGGAGCAGGAGUGUGGCUCACUCCUCUGGGCACAGCUGGGAGGCUUCCUGGAGGAGGUGGUUCUCAAGGCUCGAGUAGGAUGGAAGGUAUUGCACCCCAUGGAGCACGUAUGGCGCUUGCCCCUGGACACAAGGCUCUGGGGCUCAGAGGCGGUGAGGUGACCCACAUGAGGGCACAGCUUGGAGAAGGUCGGGAGGGAUGUGAGCUCAGUGUGCCAGAGAUGGGAGCCUGGAGCAUGCCAGGGGGUGGGGGCUGCUGCCUGAGGGCUGGCGCCAGGGUGGGCAGCCAAGUGCAGGGAGUGGGCGCCCAGGUGGCCUCUUUGCUGCUCAGAACGACCUUUCCCACGUGUACCUCCCAGCGCCGCUGGCAUUGCCCAGUGUCCUUCUUGGGGGUGGGGUUGCCAAGCAGGCGUUAUUACUGGCCUUUUGUGUUUUAUGGACAAGGAAACUGA